UCCUUAAAUCUUGUCCUGCCUACCAGCUG
rnacentral:piRNA from 1 species